AAAGCCACUCGCGUUGCGCGCUCGUGGCUUUAAACCUAAUAAAACACUCUUGCUCGUUUAUUAAACAGUACUUCAAGAGCCGAUGCCUUUACAAAACCUAGCUAAUAAUGAAUUUAUUGUAUCACCCUGAGUUAAAAAUUUAUAUUGUCCAAAUUCGGAAAUCAAACGUACAUUUAAAUUUUGCAAGGUUGCCAAUGAGAUGUGUAUUAAACGGAGAGGAAUGAGCCCGAACUAAUAGUUUGCGUUCGUCGCUGGUCGUCGUGGUCUACGAUUGACGAAGUACAGAUUGUGUAAACAGCUACCGAGAGUAUGCAUAGCAAAAGCCUUUAUAACAGUAAACGAACAACGUUACGGGGCAGUUACGUCGGAAGAUAUCAAUAAAUCUAAAAGUUCAUACAAAAACAGAAUAAAUAACAGUUGUUAUAUAUUACGGUAUUUCUAUUGUAUUAUUAUUAAAAAUUGUUAUUAAUUAACAAGCGUUUGAUGUGAAUCUCUACAUUUCUUCUGGUAACAUAUAUUAAAUUAAUGAAUAUAGGGAGACGGCUUGUUAUACUGAUUUAAAAUUUUGUUAGUCUUGUUUGACAAGUACAGGUGAAAGUGCGCUUUUUCGAG